rnacentral:lncRNA from 1 species
UGGGAGGGAGGGGUAAAACUGGUUUUAGAUAAACCAAACAAGGAUAAGGACACACCUAAACCAACCCCCAAACAACCCAAUUCAUUUGAUGGGUAGUAUAAAUACAAAGAGGGGAGAGAGAAUGACCCAUCUUCUUCCCAAACCAGCAGCUGCAUGUCAUUCUUCCCUUCCCCUUUCACAACAGAAACGUGAAUCACACCAGUAGAGAGUGUCUUGUGAGCUUGUGAGGGAGAGAUGAGACCUUGAGAGAGGAGUGGGCAGCUGCAUAGAGGAGAGGAAAAAGAGAGCUGGAAAACGUGAGAGGAAGAAGGAGGAGGAGAACCAGCAGCUGAAGAGAAAAGAAUAGUGUCAAACCUUCCUCAAACUUAGUUAAAUUCAGAAGGUAUGGGUCAUGAAACUCCCUUCCUCUUCCCCUUAAAAUCAG